GCUAUACAUGCAAGUCGAGCGAACAGAUAAGGAGCUUGCUCCUUUGACGUUAGCGGCGGACGGGUGAGUAACACGUGGGUAACCUACCUAUAAGACUGGGAUAACUUCGGGAAACCGGAGCUAAUACCGGAUAACAUUUGGAACCGCAUGGUUCUAAAGUGAAAGAUGGUUUUGCUAUCACUUAUAGAUGGACCCGCGCCGUAUUAGCUAGUUGGUAAGGUAACGGCUUACCAAGGCGACGAUACGUAGCCGACCUGAGAGGGUGAUCGGCCACACUGGAACUGAGACACGGUCCAGACUCCUACGGGAGGCAGCAGUAGGGAAUCUUCCGCAAUGGGCGAAAGCCUGACGGAGCAACGCCGCGUGAGUGAUGAAGGGUUUCGGCUCGUAAAACUCUGUUAUUAGGGAAGAACAAACGUGUAAGUAACUGUGCAUGUCUUGACGGUACCUAAUCAGAAAGCCACGGCUAACUACGUGCCAGCAGCGGCGGUAAUA
rnacentral:rRNA from 1 species